AAUAUGCUCUCAUGAUUGGCAUGAUAUGAACCUCGUGAAAUCUUAUAUAUCUGUUACAAUUUUAUGAACAAGUUAUUCAUGAUAAUAGAUGCCAAACAAACAAUUUUUUUCAUAAUAAGUAUUACUUGAUAGUCUAUUUUUCUGUGCUGGAAGGAACGUUUUGCUUUCAUAGGAACGAAGUUUGGAACCCGUUUCUAAUCAAAUAUAAAAACGAGGAACCGGAACCGUGAACAAAAAUGUUCGUUCCUUUUAUAAAAAGAA